UCCGGAUCCAACGUGAACAUUGAAGGUUCAGUCCAAAGCUUGCUGAAGAAAUUCGCUGAAAGCUUCAAACGCGAUUCUUCCAAAAGCACUUCCUAGAAGCACUUCUCUCCUCUCACCGGCGUUGACAUUAACGCCUCUAAAUCCUUCCAUUCACACGAACUCCGGUAAAACUCUCUCGGAGCUAAACAAAUCUCGAAACGUAAAAACCGAAUCCUAAUACGCGAGUUCAGGAACUAAACGGCGAUGGAGAAAAGUCACAUACCGUAAUGGUUUUCGCAACGUUCACCGACGAGAAGCGGAUCGAGAGCUUUCGGAUCUACUUCUCCUGUUCUUCUUCUACUUCAAUCUUCCUCGCCGUUCUCUGGUGCUUUGAAUCGCGGCGUUCACGUAUCUUGAAUCGAAGGCGCGGUUCGAUCGUUGGAUUCGAGAGGAUUCACUGAAGCAAGGGACGCCCUGGAUUGGGGACGGAAUCAAAGUCCAGCAAGAACAGCCAAUGAAUUCGCCGGCAAAGAUGACCGACGCAACGACGAGGUUAAUGGAAGCUCGUCUCAGAGACUGAAGCAGAGUGGAUUCUAGCUCAACCGAUCAAAGCUUCAACGUGGAGCUUUGAUGGCUUUGUCUCAGAGCUUUGGUAAGGGUGGAAUGGUGGUGAAGAUGCGGAAUAGAAGAUGGAAACUGGAAGAAGCAGGUUGAGAGUGAUGAUUGAAGAGGAGUUCUUGGAGGAGGUUGUGGGGUUUUCUGUUAGAAGUUGGUUAGAGGUUUGCUUAGGUUGGAAGAAUGUAGAGAAGGUUGUGUAGGGGAUGUAUGGAGGUUCGCGUGAAUGGAAGGUUGCAGGUUUGGUUAGGGUGAAGAAACUUUUGUUGAAUGGUGAUGGAGGUGGUAGAAGAAACUGUGAAUUGUUGAAUUAUGGAAAGACGAUCGAAGAGCUUGAAUUGAAGAUGGAGGAUGGUUCUUAUAGGAGAGUAAAGUUAGAGAGAUGGUUGGUUAUGACAGUUGGAAAUUGUUAUGAGAGUUGAAAGUUGUUAUGAGAGUUGAAGGAUCCAUGAUGAUGAAUGAUGAAGAGUGAAGUUAUCUCCUCCCAAAAAUUUGUGAGUUUCAUUUACUCCCUCAUUUAUCCUAGAAAUUCUCUCAUCUACUUCUCUUUCUGUUUCUGUUUAGUGAAUUGGUUCGUUAGAAGUUGUUAGGAAAAACCGUUAGAGGUUGUUAGAUUUCGGUUAGGUUAGUUGGAGGAAAGAAUGGUUUUUUGAAGAAGGUUAGGGAGAGUCCUCAGAACUGAUGCAGUUUCCAUGAGGUGGAAAGUCUGAGAUGAGUCAUGGUUCAGGUUUUUGGAAAGGAAGUUUGUUGGAAUUUCUGUUGGGAGUUUUCGGUUAGCAGGGAGGCUGGGAAUUUCCUAGAAUCGUUCAAUUGAGGCAAUUUAGGGAAUUGGUUAGAGUUUAGGGAAUUGGUUAGAGUCAGUUAUGUUGAGGGUUAUAUUAAAGGGUUUUUUCUUUUAACAGUUAGCAUUCUGUUAUGAGGCGGUUAUGGCACUUGGCAGGUUAGUUACCGAGUCGGUUCUCACACGAAGUUAGUCCUGGUUUCAGUGAGUGUUUCCAAUUCUCUAUUAUGCUAUGCUUCUAUUUUGCCUCCUUUCCACUGUUAUGCUUUUGCUUUCUUUUAUGCAGGUUUUUGUUAGAAGGUUGUUGAUAGUUGGGAGUUAUGAAUGAGUUGGAAGUUAUGAAGGGUCAAUGACAGUUGGCAGUUUGUUAUAUGGUUAUGACAGUUUUAGAGAAAUGGAUGCACAACUGUUAGUUUGUUUCUAUUGAAUAUGGCUUGGAUGGAAUUCCUGUUAGAGAGCAGCUUCCCUAGCUGCAUCUCGAACUUCAGGCUUCUCGGCUCUUUUCUUCUGAAUGACUUCCAGGAUAGCACCAACAAUUGACCUAGAGUAUGGCUUCUUGGUAGCACGACGUCUCUUCUUUACAGCUUCUUGAGCAAUGUCCUUCUUGUGUUGCUUUCUGAGAAUCACUGCGAAUAAAUCUGAUGCCUCUUCCUGGGUAGAUCUUUGCACCACUGAAUCGGCAGAGUUCAGUCUAGAGAACCAUUGUUGCUUCUCCGCUGGUGGCUGCUUCUGUUAUUUAAGGUUAUACUUCCUAUAGGCAUGUGAAUGAACUCCGUGAAAUCGGCCAUGGCUCUAGGUUUCUUUUCAGCAGAAAGAUGAUACUUGGCCAAUGCAGAGACAACUCUUUCACGGUAAUCGGGAUCGGCCCAUUCUGCAGCAAUGGCUUGUGCAAUUUUCUUUUUCUGUUCAGGGGAUUUGGGUGCUCUGUUGCUGGAUGGUGCCCUGGCCAUUAGUUUCCGCUGUUCAAGAGUCUGGAACCAGUCCCGCCGAAGCUGACCAUCCAACGUUUCAUAGGAAUUCCAUUGCAGCUCUUCCUGACCAAUAAAGCCUUGCCUGGAUGCUUCUGCAAUUAAAUUUUGCCACUGAAAUGUUUUAUGGUUGUAAAUGUAUGGUUGUGAUCACAUGAUAUAGAAUAAAAUUGGACUUGUGUUGGAUUGGAAUUUUAAAUGAAGAUGAAUGUAUCAGUUGGUUCA